rnacentral:rRNA from 1 species
UACGAAGGGAGCUAGCGUUGUUCGGAAUCACUGGGCGUAAAGGGCGUGUAGGCGGUCCGCUAAGUCUGAUGUGAAAGCCCGGGGCUCACCCCCGGAAGGGCAUUGGAAACUGACGGACUCGAGUCCCGAAGAGGAGGGUGGAAUUCCUGGUGUAGCGGUGAAAUGCGUAGAUAUCAGGAGGAACACCGGUGGCGAAGGCGGCCCUCUGGACGGUGACUGACGCUGAGACGCGAAAGCGUGGGGAGCAAACAGG